AUUCUCAUUUGCAGAUCGUCUCUAAGAACCCGAAUGGCCAACGCGACCGCCGUUCUUCUAACCCGUGUAAUCGUGGCCGUAGCUGCACACAGAAGUAUGUGGACUUGAGAUCAUGUAAACAUCUGUAGACAUUUGGAGAGGAGGAGAGAAGCAGAACUGGAAAAAAAUGACAUUGGGCUUCAGACUCUGUUAGUCUGCUACUUACAGUGCUGUAUGAAGAUCACAAUGCUGUCAUAUAUAUUAUAAGCUAUUUCUAA